GACGAACGCUGGCGGCGUGCUUAACACAUGCAAGUCGAACGCUGAAGCUCAGCUUUUGUUGGGUGGAUGAGUGGCGAACGGGUGAGUAACACGUGAGUAACCUGCCUCCUUCUUUGGGAUAACGCCCGGAAACGGGUGCUAAUACUGGAUAUUCACUGGUCUUCGCAUGGGGGUUGGUGGAAAGGGUUUUUCUGGUGGGGGAUGGGCUCGCGGCCUAUCAGCUUGUUGGUGGGGUGAUGGCCUACCAAGGCUUUGACGGGUAGCCGGCCUGAGAGGGUGACCGGUCACAUUGGGACUGAGAUACGGCCCAGACUCCACGGGAGGCAGCAGUGGGGAAUAUUGCACAAUGGGCGCAAGCCUGAUGCAGCGACGCCGCGUGAGGGAUGGAGGCCUUCGGGUUGUGAACCUCUUUCGCUCAUGGUCAAGCCGCAACAAUGGUUGUGGUGAGGGUAGUGGGUAAAGAAGCGCCGGCUAACUACGUG
rnacentral:rRNA from 1 species